GGGCUUCGCGGGCUCAGGAAG
rnacentral:misc_RNA from 1 species